UCUGCUAUUAAGACACAUGCACAUGUAUGUUUAUUGUGGCACUGUUCAUAAUAGCCUAUCUUGUUCUACUACAUUCUUAUUUUGUGGAUUCAUAAAAGAUGUUUUGUUAACAAUUUCAUAUGUUUGAACUUUCUAAAUAGUUUCUGACAUAUAUAAGUGACAAAAGGAGCAACUAAACCUAAUUUGGUUUUAACUAGUUUCACAUUAUAAAUUUUGUCAUGAUGAAAGUUGCCAUUUAUAUCUGGGAAACAUCCCAGUUCUGGCACAUUUCUGCCACAUUUCCUUCUGCCAGCACCUCAGUUUUGACCUUUACCAUUUCACACAGAUAUAAGCAUGAUGUACUUUAAAAAUAAAAUAAAAUAAAAUCUCUGGCAUAGUUAUAUCCAUUUAAGAGUCUGCUUCCUGGGAAACCCAAUCUGCAACACCUGUUUUUGACUUUUGUAUGGGAAUGUUUUAUUGAUUGCUUCUCUCACCCAUCCCUACAACUGUUUUAUUCCUAAAGGUAAUGACUGCUUCUUUAGUGCUUUGGAAUUUUAUCCAAAGUUGCUGACACCUGCUCAUUUUGCAACUUUUGAAGCUGGUACUUUUGACCUUCCAUGUUAAAUAGACAAUGGCUAAGACAUCACCACUACAAACUGGCCAACUAAACGCUACUGUAAGAGGUCAUUGUAACUCUCAGCCCCAUUUCAAAGAAAAGGAAAUUAAGUUCCAGAAAGGUGAAGAAGGCAGUGACUGGUGAGGUGUGGAGCCAGGAUCCAACCUGAGCCAUCUGACUCUGGAGCUGCUUGAGUCUCUCUAGCCCUGUGACACACUAUAAAAGCCAAAGAAUAUCUUCCAAGAGUUGAUUGUUAAUGUAACAGCACACUGCUGGAUUAAAAUUAUGCUAGCAGAAGUGAUAUGUAUUUCAACUGUAUGUGUGUAUGUAUAUAUGUGGGGGUGGUGCUAUGUGUUUGUGUGCAUGUGUGU